rnacentral:rRNA from 1 species
UUAGAGUUUGAUCCAUGGCUCAGAAUCAACGCUGGCGGCGUGCCUAACACAUGCAAGUCGAGCGCGAAAGCCCCUUCGGGGGUAAGUAGAGUGGCGUCCGGGUGAGUAACACGUGGGCAAUCUACCUCCGGGUGGAGAAUAACCCGCCGAAAGGCGGGCUAAUACUGCAUAAUGCAGCGGCACCAAAUGGUGAUUAGUUGUUAAAGCGGGGGACCCUUCGGGGCCUCGCGCCUGGAGAGGAGCCUGCGGCAGAUUAGCUAGUUGGUGAGGUAACGGCUCACCAAGGCGACGAUCUGUAGCUGGUCUGAGAGGACGGCCAGCCACACUGGCACUGACACACGGGCCAGACUCCUACGGGAGGCAGCAGUGGGGAAUUUUGGGCAAUGGGCGAAAGCCUGACCCAGCAACGCCGCGUGAGGGAGGAAAUCCUUCGGGAUGUAAACCUCACAAGCAAGGGAAGAGAGCUGCGGGCUGAAUAAUCCCGCAGUCCGACGUACUUGCUAAGCCACGCA